AGGUGAGUCACGGUGCCGGGGCAUUUUACUUGAUAUUAGAACGAGAAGGAGAGAUGCAGAGUGCACGCACAAUGAAACAAAUGAUGGGAGGAGGGAUGGAAGGAGAAAGAGUAUAUGUAUUUGCAGCGCAGAAUGAAACAUGAGCGAUCAUACCAGCACUAAUGCAACGGAUUUUAUCAGAACUCCGCAAGUUAAGGGUGCUUGGGUGAGAGUAGUACUAGGAUGGGUGACCUCUUGUGAAGUCAUUAUAUAUCACCCAUUUUCAUGGGAAGUCCUCGUAUUGCACCCAUUUAUUUGCAGAUGAUUCUUUCCAAGUUACGCGCGACUUGAAUUAUGGUCCGUAGGUUUAUUUGCAAAUGUGAGUCACGGCGCCGUGCCAUUUUACUGGAUAUUUGAACAAGAACAGGAGGUGCAGUGCGCACGCACAAGGAAACAAAUGACGGGAGGGGGAAGAAAGGAGGAGUGUAUGUAUUUGUGGCACAAAAUUAAACAGGUGCGAUCAUACCAGCACAAUUGCACUGGAUCCCAUCAGAACUCCGCAGUCAAGUGUGCUUGGGCGAGAGUAGUACUCGGAUGGGUGUCCUCCUGGGAAUUCCUCGUGUUGCACCCAUUUUUUUUCGGAUGGGUCGCUCGACGUUACGCGCGAAUGGAAUUAUGAACCGCUGGUUCAUUCGCAAAGGUGAGUGACAGUGCCGGGGCAUUUUACUUGAUAUUAGAACGAGAAGGAGAGAUGUAGAGUGCACGUACAAGGAAACAAAUGACGGGUGGGGGAUGGAAGGAGAAAGAGUGUAUGUAUUUGCAGCGCAGAANNNNNNNNNNNNNNNNNNNNNNNNNNNNNNNNNNNNNNNNNNNNNNNNNNNNNNNNNNNNNNNNNNNNNNNNNNNNNNUACCAGCACAAAUGCACCGGAUCCAUAUGACUCGCAGUUAAGUUUGCUUUGGCGAAUGUAGUAAAGGAUGGGUUACCUCCUGGGAAGUUCUCGUGUUGUACCCAUUUUUUUUAGAUGGGUUGUUCGACGAUACGCGCGACUGGAACUAUGAUCCGCUGGUUUAUACGCAAAUGUGAGUCAAGACGCAGGGGCAUUUUAAUUGAUAUUAGAACGAGAAGAAGAAGUGAAAUGUGAACGCACCAGGAAACAAAUGACGGGAGGGAGAAGAAAGGUAAAGUAGUGUAUGUAUUUGCAGUGCGAAAUGAAACAGGUGCGAUCAUACCAGCACUAAUGCCCCGGAUCUGAACUCCGCAGUUAAGUGUGCUUGGGUGAGAGUGGUACUCGAAUGGGUGUCCUCCUGCGAAGUCCUUAUAUUUCACCCAUUUUCUUGGGAAGUCCUAAUGUUGCACCCUUUUUUUUUAUGAUUCUUUCGACGUUACGCACGACUUGAAUUAUGGUCCGUAGGUUUAUUUGCAAAUGUGAGUCACGGCGCUAUGGUUUUUUACUUGAUAUUUGAAGGAGAACGGGAGAUGCAGUGCGCACGCACAAGGAAAUAAAUGACGGGAGGGGGAAGAAAGGAAAAAGAGUGUAUGUAUUUGCUGCGCGAAAUUAAACAGGUGCGAUCGUACCAGCACUAAUGCACCUAAUCCAAUAUGAACUCCGCAGUUAAGUUUGCUUUGGCGAAAGUAGUAAAAGGAUGGGUUACCUCCUGGGAAGUUCUCGUGUUGUACCCAUUUCUUUUUUAGAUGGGUUGUUCGACGAUACGCGCGACUGGAACUAUGAUCCGCUGGUUUAUACGCAAAUGUGAGUCAAGACGCAGGGGCAUUUUAAUUGAUAUUAGAACGAGAAGAAGAAGUGAAGUGUGAACGCACCAGGAAACAAAUGACGGGCGGGAGAAGAAAGGUAAAGGAGUGUAUGUAUUUGCAGCGCGAAAUGAAACAGGUGCGAUUAUACCAGCACUAAUGCCCCGGAUCUGAACUCCGCAGUAAAGUGUGCUUGGGCGAGAGUGGUACUCGAAUGGAUGUCCUCAUGCGAAGUCCUUAUAUUUCACCCAUUUUCUUGGGAAGUCCUAAUGUUGCACCCUUUUUUUUUUAUGAUUCUUUCGACGUUACGCACGACUUGAAUUAUGGUCCGCAGGUUUAUUUGCAAAUGUGAGUCACGGCACCGUGGUAUUUUACUUGAUAUUUGAAGGAGAACGGGAGGUGCAGUGCGCACGCACAAGGAAAUAAAUGACGGGAGGGGGAAGAAAGGAAAAGAGUGUAUGUAUUUGCUGCCUGAAAUUAAACAGGUGCGAUCGUACCAGCACUAAUGCACCGGAUCCCAUUAGAACUCCGCAGUUAAGUGUGCUUGGGCGAGAGUAGUACUCGAAUGGGUGACCUCCUGGGAAGUCCUCUUGUCGCACCAAUUUUUUUUCAGACGGGUUGUUCGAUGUCACGCGCGACUGGAGCUUAGGUCUGUUGGUUUGUACGCAAAUGUGAGUCAAGAAGCAAGGGCAUUUUAAUCGAUAUUAGAACGAGAAUGAGAGGUACAGUAUGAAACAUGAGGGAUCAUACCAGAAUGAAACAUGAGGGAUUAUACCAGAACUAAUGCAACAGAUUCUAUCAGAACUCUGCAGUUAAGGGUGGUUGGGCGAGAGUAGUACUAGGAUGGGUGACCUCUUGCGAAGUCCUUAUAUUUCACCCAUUUUCUUGGGAAGUACUCGUGUUGCACCCAUUUUUUUGCAGAUGAUUCUUUCGACGUUACGCGUGACUUGAAUUAUGGUCCGCAGGUUUAUUCGCAAAUGUGAGUCACGGCGCCGUGGCAUUUUACUUGAUAUUAGAACGAGAACGGGAGGUGCAGUGCG
rnacentral:lncRNA from 1 species